rnacentral:misc_RNA from 1 species
UCCCCGUUACCGAGGCAGUCUGGCUAGAUAUUGCAACUAGCCACGGGGGUUGCGCUCGUUGAAGGACUUAACCUAACAUCUCACGACACGAGCUGACGACAGCCAUGCAUCACCUGUCACCGAGUUCCUUGCGGCACAGUCCAGUUUCCUGGACCUUCUCGGGAUGUCAAACCUUGGUAAGGUUCUUCGCGUAUCCUCGAAUUAAACCACACGCUCCACCGCUUGUGCGGGUCCCCGUCAAUUCCUUUGAGUUUUAAGCUUGCGCUCGUACUCCCCAGGCGGGAUGCUUAAUGCGUUAGCUGCGCCACUGACGAGUAAACCCGCCAACGGCUAGCAUCCAUCGUUUACGGCGUGGACUAC